AUUGAACGCUGGCGGCAUGCUUUACACAUGCAAGUCGAACGGUAACAGGGAGCUUGCUCCGCUGACGAGUGGCGAACGGGUGAGUAAUGCGUCGGAACGUGCCGAGUAGUGGGGGAUAACGCAUCGAAAGGUGUGCUAAUACCGCAUACGAACUGAGGUUGAAAGUGGGGGACCUUCGGGCCUCACGCUAUUCGAGCGGCCGGCGUCUGAUUAGCUAGUUGGGGAGGUAAAGGCUCACCAAGGCGACGAUCAGUAGCGGGUCUGAGAGGAUGAUCCGCCACAAUGGGACUGAGACACGGCCCAGACUCCUACGGGAGGCAGCAGUGGGGAAUUCUGGACAAUGGGCGCAAGCCUGAUCCAGCCAUGCCGCGUGUCUGAAGAAGGCCUUCGGGUUGUACAGGACUUUUGUCCGGGAGCAAAUGCUGGUGGCUAACAUCCACCGGAGCUGAGAGUACCGGAAGAAUAAGCACCGGCUAACUACGUGCCAGCCGCCGCCGUAAGAC
rnacentral:rRNA from 1 species